rnacentral:lncRNA from 1 species
GAGAAACACAGCCCCCCCCCCCAAACACACAAAUACACACACACACACACAAAUACACAAAACAAACACAACUGGUUAAGACAGUUUUUGAUUGAUUUGCUUGGACAUCUGUCUGAGUUUACCUGUCUGUCCCUGUGGGCUCUGUGGUGGGAAAUAGGUUUCCAGCCUUCCUCCUCAUCCAGAUGAUUCUGCACUAUUCUGCCCGAAUAAUUAUUCCAGUAUAUUGUCAAACCUAAGAGGCACAAGCUUAGUAUCUCCCCAUUGCUUAUUCAAUAAAUUUAUACUUUAUAGCCUGGCAUUCAAAACCUCCUUACAAGCUGGCCUCUAAGUACCUUUUAUUUAUUUAUUUAUUUUAUUUUAUUUUUUUUUGUCUUUUGUUUUUGCUAUUUCUUGGGCCGCUCCUGCGGCAUAUAGAGGUUCCCAGGGCUAGGGGUUGAAUCGGAGCUGUAGCCACCGGCCUACGCCAGAGCCACAGCAACGUGGGAUCCGAGCCGCGUCUGCAACCUACACCACAGCUCACGGCAACGCCGGAUCGUUAACCCACUGAGCAAGGGCAGGGACCGAACCCGCGACCUCAUGGUUCCUAGUCGGAUUCAUUAACCACUGCGCCACGACGGGAACUCCAGUACCUUUUAUUUAUUUAACAAUUUAGUUUUUUAAAUCCCUGCUAUAUACUAGGCAGCCUGCUGAGAGCUGGGUAUAGAGCAAUGAACUUGAGUGACAUGUCCUCAUGGGACUUUGUUAUCUACUGUAGCAAGACAGACUUUAAACAAAGUCAUGCAAAUGAUUAAUUGCAAAGUGAAAACAAGAACACACAGUGAUAACAUUGAGAUCCCUUGGCUUUGGGAAUUAAGUCAUUGACACCAGUCUCUUAAGAGUGUGGCUUCAGGAGCAGAGCACCAGUUUUAGGAGUAGAAGGGGGCAUCUAGAAACACAUGGGCUUUGGAGGGGGAGGAGUAUGACCUCUGGAUGCACCAGCACUUCACUGAUCUAAGGCCUAAUUUUGGCUACCUUCCCUUACAUUUGCUUUAAUGUAGUGUAUGACUUUCUUUCAUUGUUUAGCAGUUACACUGAAAGUAUCACUUUUCCAAAAACUGUCCACAACAUGGGACCAAAAUAAAUUUAAAGUUCUGUUGUUCAAGCUGAAGUGGGUGCAACUGCCGUUCCUAGAAUACUUGAGCCUCAGCAUAGAAUAUGCUUUGUCAUGCCUUUUGUCAGAACUCUGGUGUGAACUGCCUUAAGGCAAGACAUCAAGUCCUUUUGCUCAUAAGCAAAGGAUCCUCUUGAAUUACUCUGGUAUAACUGACUAGCUGGCUGUAAGAUGUAUGCUUCCACUUGGUUUUGUAAUACUUUUGAAGACAAUUCUAGCUCCUUGACACAAUAUCAAUAUAAUCGUCCCAGUUUGGCAAUGGAGAAUCUACAUCUGCAGUGGAACCGUUGGACCUCAUAAUUCCUAUUCUUACUCUGCUGUGAGGUGCCAUCUUUGGAGAUUUCAUCCUAAUUAAUGCCAUUAUGACCUUAGGGGACAUGAGUUUAGAGCUUUGGACUAACUAGAUAUUACCUAGGUGACAGUAUGCUGGAACGUUAAAAUUAAGACAUUAUUAAAUGUUUAGUGCAAACAAAAGGGAAAUAACCAGAGAGCAGCAUAUACCUAGAGAAGAUGCUUUCUCAGACAGAUUCUGUUCAUCCUCACUUGUAAUUCCUACAGUGAUGACCCUCUCUCAGCCAGUUGCCUGACUCUGCAGGAUAGAGGGUGCCUGUGAUCCUUAAUGCUACCAGUUUAUUGAGCAAGACAAAUUCUAGGUGCAAAAGGAUAGUAGCAUUGUUCGUUCUCGCCACUCUCCACUAAACUGGCUUUGUCAAGUAGCUCUUUCACUGGGCCCUGGACUUUGCCAAGUGCUGUGAUGUUUCUGGUUAUUGUUAAGCAAUUAAGGGCCCUUUUUGGUAUAAUCACAUCAUUCCAUUCCUUAACACAGGUUCAAGGUUUUCUCUUCCCGAGCCCAGGCACGUUUCAGGCUUAGGAGACUGCAGUCGAAAGGGGUUUUUUUCAUCUUCUGCUCUGCUUAUUCUCCAUCAUUCCCUGAAUGGCACGCAGCUCUUCUGGGUUCAGAGUAGGAGAGGGAAGAGGCAUAAAAGAAGAAAGUCUUACUUGAAGUGAAUCUGGUGUUGAUGCCCUCUGGAUGGCGCUAAUUCAAAAAGAUGAUUUUUGUUGCUGUCAUGGAGUGUCUUGUGAUUCUUUGGAGGACUGCCUCUCAGUUCCUUUGACAGGGUGGAUACUCUCUAUUCUUAAUCACUUGCAGUCUUCCUCAAGGCCUCUGGAUGCUGGUGGGCAGAUCUGAGCAUUCAAAAAAAAUUCCUGCUGGAUCCGCCCAUGCCUCCAGGCCUUCCUCUUCAGCAGUCCCACUCAGGCUGAGUCAGCCCAACUUGUUCCUGUGGAGCCCACAUCCUCCCCUCUGAUAGCUCACACAGCCUUGAGUACAGGUCAUUCCCAUCUCACCCACCGCUCCUUGCUCUGUUGUCCCAGGACAAUGGGUUAGCCUAAUGCCUUUCUUUUCAGGAACAAGACUGCUUUUAUUCUCCUUAUCUGUCAAAUUUCAGGGACCACAGAACAAGUUAUUCAAAGUUGUCCUAUUCCACGGCCUGAGAGGGGAGGGAGGUAUUCCAUAUUCUCUCCCUUGGGAGAGGGAAAAUAAUGCACCGCACCCUGACAGUCUCUGCAAAGGAAUCCUCAACCUGCCUCAGUCAAACUCUCUAAAACUUGUGUAUUACCUCAUCUUCUUCAUUCAUUUAGCCUGGGGGGGUGGUGAUGGCUGAGGCCAGCGAAAUCUGCUUUAAAAUUACCAAGGCCUCCCUGCAGAUGUGGCCCAACUCUUUGCUUUAAUACAUGAAAGUAUUUAUAUUUUCUCUAUUUUUUCCCUUUCUUUCUUCUUCCUUUCUUCCUUUCUUCCUUUCUCUUUCUUUCUUUCUCCCUCUCUUCCCUCCUUCCUUUCUUCCCUCUCUCCUUCCUUCCUUCCUUCCUUUCUUUCUUUCUUUCUUUCUUUCUUUCUUUCUCUUUCUUUCUUAUUGAAUCCUCAUCUGAAGCUCCGAGCAAACAGAAAAUGUUAUGUUUAACAUUCUGUUCCAUUGUCCAGAGGUAUUUCAACAUGGGUCUACAUUUCAUAAAGUCCAAAGUCAAGCCUCCUUUCUGGGGAGGCCCUAGAAGAGAUGGGAUGCUCCUUUCCUACAAAAUUAAAAUUUACCUCCUAAGUUCUGAUGGUGUGUCUGUGGAUCUGCUUCUUCCUCAGUGAUUCACACGAGGAGAACCUUCUGUCCUGGGAGACUUUAGUGCCUUUCUUUCUGCAUCAGUCUUUCCUUUAAAGUCUCAGAGGACAAUGGUAUCAGAGUACAUUGUGACAAAGCUCACAGGCAUGCAAAAGCGUAAUAACAACUGGUUCCCUUUUUAGAAUUCUUUCUUUCUUGCCUGGCUUGUUCAUCUUCAUGAUGUUUGGCUAUGGUGAAGGCUAUAUAGUAUGUUGUCUCAGAAUAACAUGAACAAAGCUAACUGGUUCACAGGAGGAUUACAGCUGGCCUCAUAAUUCUCUAGCAAUGGAGCCAGCCAGAGACAGCCUCCUCAUAAGGGAAUACAUUAUCCUUACUUCAUAGUUGGAUUUAAGACAAAACAAAUAUUUAAAAAAUCUAAUUAGUUUCUAACAAAUUGCCAACAUUUUAAAGUAACAAUCUCUCUUAAAAGAUGAAUGUUUUUGGAGAUGCUUUUCAAGAAAAUGGACAUGGAAAGUACUUUCGUGGAGCAAACUGUUUCAUAUUCUGUAGUAUUUAAUCAGUAUCCUAACAUUCUAGAUAAAUGAUGGAAUCUUUCUACCUGUAUGUAUGCACACUUCCCAGGAUGUGAUUUUUCCAUUGGCACUCCCAAACAUUGACAUUGAAUAACUGCUAUGCUGCGACAAUAUGUUGGGAUAUUUUGUCCCUAAGCCUUGAACUUCUGAAAUCAGUUGUAUUCUUUCUAUUAGUCAGAAUAUUUGUCUUUACAUUCUUGGGAGAGGAAAUUAUAUAUCUUCCUAAUGCUCACAAGGAUAGAUUUAACUGGGAGAUUUUAUGUUGUAGCACUUUAAGAAUUACUUGUUUCUGUGUUAAUGCUAAAAAUAAAUUCUCAUUUGUCUUAUUU